AUUGAACGCUGGCGGCAUGCUUUACACAUGCAAGUCGAACGGCAGCGCGGGCUUCGGCCUGGCGGCGAGUGGCGAACGGGUGAGUAAUAUAUCGGAACGUACCCAAGAGUGGGGGAUAACGUAGCGAAAGUUACGCUAAUACCGCAUACGAUCUAAGGAUGAAAGCAGGGGAUCGCAAGACCUUGUGCUCCUGGAGCGGCCGAUAUCUGAUUAGCUAGUUGGUGGGGUAAAGGCCCGACCAAGGCAACGAAUCAGUAGCUGGUCUGAGAGGACGACCAGCACACUGGAACUGAGACACGGUCCAGACUCCUACGGAGGCAGCA
rnacentral:rRNA from 1 species